rnacentral:rRNA from 1 species
GACGAACGCUGGCGGCGUGCUUAACACAUGCAAGUCGAACGGAAAGGCCCUGCUUUUGUGGGGUGCUCGAGUGGCGAACGGGUGAGUAACACGUGAGUAACCUGCCCUUGUCUUUGGGAUAACUUCAGGAAACUGGGGCUAAUACCGGAUAGGAGCUCCUGCUGCAUGGUGGGGGUUGGAAAGUUUCGGCGGUUGGGGAUGGACUCGCGGCUUAUCAGCUUGUUGGUGGGGUAGUGGCUUACCAAGGCUUUGACGGGUAGCCGGCCUGAGAGGGUGACCGGCCACAUUGGGACUGAGAUACGGCCCAGACUCCUACGGGAGGCAGCAGUGGGGAAUAUUGCACAAUGGGCGGAAGCCUGAUGCAGCAACGCCGCGUGCGGGAUGACGGCCUUCGGGUUGUAAACCGCUUUCGCCUGUGACGAAGCGGGAGUGACGGUAAUGGGUAAAGAAGCACCGGCUAACUACGUG